rnacentral:lncRNA from 1 species
AAAGAGGUUGGAACCAAACUUUGGAAAAUAGGUAAUAUAAUAUUCUUAUAUUUUGUUUUACUAAUAUGAGAGUAUAGAAAUUUAUUAAUUUGAGUUAUAUAGUGAGAUUGACUAAUAUAAUUAGAAACAAGAAAAGAAUAAGUAAUGCUUCCCUUAACUCAUAUCACUUUGUGGAAGAAUCAUGGGUGCCUGUAGAACACUUUGUAAUGAAGAUUUAUUUUUUUAAAACAAAUCAAAUUCUUAAUAUCUUUGUAUGUAGUAGUAUGAAUUAAUAUUUGAACAGACAUAGAAACAAAGGCAAUUUGUUGAAGGCAUUCUUUUUAAUUCAAAGGAUAAACUUUCUUACUUCACUUGCUUAAGAUUAUAUUCUAGGUGUAUAUAAUUUUGUUAGGUACGAAAGAAAGUAUUGCCGAUAGUGAUCCUAUAUGAUUUAGAUAUAUACACAUAGUUGGAAUAAUUUGGGUAAAAGAAAAUUAAAAAAAUAUAAAUAUACGAGUAAGUUAAAAUUGAUAGAUUAUAUGCUAGUUGAAUUACUCAUAGCAUGGAUAAAUAUAAUUCAGCGAAUUAAUGGUAUAACAUAAAACUCUGAGGAUUUGGUUCUAAAUUUAGCUAUGAAUUAGCUUAAACAAAGAAAUUAACACAAGAUCGAUAUUGAUGUGAUUAUAGAUUAAUUGAAGAAAGUCGUACAGAUCACUCGAGGCGACGUGUUUGGUAUUUCGACACGAGUACUUGAGUAGUAAUCUUACCGCAAUUUGUGUUUUCAUAACCUGCAUGGUUUAUACAUUAUUUUGAAAAGAAAAUGUGUUACCGAAUGUUUGAAAUUACAUGUAGGACAAGUCUCUUACUUGAUAUGGUACUUAAUAGUUUACUUGAGAUAUUUGCUGUUAUUUAAAAUGUUCUCAUGUUACUAGAUAUGUUUUACUAUUACUAGAGAUAUGAUUACCGUUGCCGAAAUUGGAUUACAUGAUUUGAUAAAAAUUGAAAUGCCCUGUACUGUUUUGAAAAUUCUUCCAUGUGAAGAUUUACUGUUUACAAAGAAAAGUAUGAAUGGGAGAAGACUUUGAAGGAUCCCGUAGCUAACGGCGGGUUUGUUAGACAUGGUGCACCUUGUAUUUACUGAUUACCGAGUACAGUUAGAGCCCUCACUAGUGGGAAGGUAGAACUAGCAUACAGUUACAGUUUUUCCUCGAGUAGGGACCUACAAUUAUAUUUGACUCCUCUUAUGAAGGGGUCCGCAUAGUGAUACAGAUUACAUGAUCCUUUUCUGAAAACCUCCCAAAUAUAAAGAUUUGAUAUGACACAAUAUUUACCGAGUUUAUUACUGAAUUGUUAAAUUGAUUUUGUUACAUGAAGCACAUGAUGAGACUGAUUAUUAUUACCAUUUUAAAAAGGGCAUUACAUUUUGUGAUUAUUAUACAAGCGUGUUUUCUGACUUAUCCCCUAUUAAAAAUGGUUGUGGUUAAGUAGUAUUACUCACUGAGCUAGUGACUCAGUCCCUACUAUUAUUUUUACAGAGAUAGCAGUAGACACAAGCAAGGAUUUCGUUAAUCAGAGUACACGAGUUGGCAAUUCCUGAUGAGCCCCGCAUUUAUUCGCGUGGGUAAAGAUUGUUAUUAAUUUGUUAUAGUCUCUUUCUUGAAACUCUUAGAGUCGCUCCAUAGUCAUUUUUAUGAGUGUAAUAAGUAUUCUUUUAUUGAUAUAGACUUGUGAUUCGUAUUAGACUUCUUAU